GUCUUGUGGUGGAGGGAGCUUUAGCGGUGUGGGAUGAGCCCGCGGCCUAUCAGCUUGUUGGUGGGGUGACGGCCUACCAAGGCGACGACGGGUAGCCGGCCUGAGAGGGUGUCCGGCCACACUGGGACUGAGAUACGGCCCAGACUCCUACGGGAGGCAGCAGUGGGGAAUAUUGCACAAUGGGCGCAAGCCUGAUGCAGCGACGCCGCGUGGGGGAUGACGGCCUUCGGGUUGUAAACCUCUUUCACCAUCGACGAAGGUCCGGGUUCUCUCGGAUUGACGGUAGGUGGAGAAGAAGCACCGGCCAACUACGUGCCAGCAGCCGCGGUAAUACGUAGGGUGCGAGCGUUGUCCGGAAUUACUGGGCGUAAAGAGCUCGUAGGUGGUUUGUCGCGUUGUUCGUGAAAUCUCACGGCUUAACUGUGAGCGUGCGGGCGAUACGGGCAGACUAGAGUACUGCAGGGGAGACUGGAAUUCCUGGUGUAGCGGUGGAAUGCGCAGAUAUCAUGAGGAACACCGGUGGCGAAGGCGGGUCUCUGGGCAGUAACUGACGCUGAGGAGCGAAAGCGUGGGGAGCGAACAGGAUUAGAUACCCUGGUAGUCCACGCCGUAAACGGUGGGUACUAGGUGUGGGUUUCCUUCCUUGGGAUCCGUGCCGUAGCUAACGCAUUAAGUACCCCGCCUGGGGAGUACGGCCGCAAGGCUAAAACUCAAAGGAAUUGACGGGGGCCCGCACAAGCGGCGGAGCAUGUGGAUUAAUUCGAUGCAACGCGAAGAACCUUACCUGGGUUUGACAUGCACAGGACGCGUCUAGAGAUAGGCGUUCCCUUGUGGCCUGUGUGCAGGUGGUGCAUGGCUGUCGUCAGCUCGUGUCGUGAGAUGUUGGGUUAAGUCCCGCAACGAGCGCAACCCUUGUCUCAUGUUGCCAGCACGUAAUGGUGGGGACUCGUGAGAGACUGCCGGGGUCAACUCGGAGGAAGGUGGGGAUGACGUCAAGUCAUCAUGCCCCUUAUGUCCAGGGCUUCACACAUGCUACAAUGGCCGGUACAAAGGGCUGCGAUGCCGCGAGGUUAAGCGAAUCCUUAAAAGCCGGUCUCAGUUCGGA
rnacentral:rRNA from 1 species